AGAGUUUGAUCCUGGCUCAGGGUGAACGCUAGUAGUAUGCUUAACACAUGCAAGUUGAACGGAGAUUUUCGUAGCGAACGGGUGAGGAAAGCACAGAAUGCUACCUUUUAGUUUAGCACAACAAAUAAUUACUAUGUAACUAUUUAAAUACUAAAUAAAUUUAUAAAGGUUCUAUUUUUUUAAAAUAUGUUCCGCUAAAAGACGGGUCUGUGUAAGAUUAGGUAGUUGGUAAAUUUAACAGCUUACCAAGCCUUCGAUCUUUAGUUGGUCUUAGAGGACGAUCAACCACACUGGAACUGAAACAAGGUCCAGGCUGAAUUUUCGGCCAGCAGUGAGGAAUAUUGGACAAUGAACGCAAGUUUGAUCCAGCAAUACUAUCUGAAUGAAGACGGCUUUUUUAGUUGUAAAGUUCUUUCGUUAAGAAUGAUAAUGACAUUACUUAAAGAAGUUUAGUCCCGGCUAAUACUCGUGCCAGCAGCCGCGGUAAUACGGGAGGGGCAAGCGUUAUCCGGCAUAACUGGGCGUAAAGAGUCCGUAGACUGUAAAAUAAGUUGCUUGUUAAAAUUUAAAGCCUAACUUUAAAAUAGCUUGUAAUACUGUUUUACUUGAGUUUUAUACAGAAGAGUAGAAUUUUAUACGAAAGGGUAAAAUCUAAAAAUAUAUAAAGGAAUACCAGUAGCGAAGGCGACUCUUUGGUAAAAACUGACGUUGAGGGACGAAAGUAUGGGUAGCAAACAGGAUUAGAUACCCUGGUAGUCCAUACUGUAAACGAUGAGUGCUGUGAUUUAAUGUAAGUUACGUGGUAUUAAGGAAUACAUACUGUUAUAAAACACUUAUUUAGAUUUUUAAGCUAACGCUAUAAGCACUCCGCCUGAGAAGUACGAUCGCAAGGUUGGAACUCAAAGGAAUUGACGGGGGCUAAUACUAGUGGUGGAGCAUGUGGUUUAAUGCGAUAAUCCGCGCAAAACCUUACCAAUCCUUGAAUAAUAGCUCUAGUAUGUUUUGCACCUUUAGGCAAAUGUAACAAUACAAACAACUUUUACAGGUGCUGCACGGCUGUCGUCAGCUCGUGUCGUGAGAUGUUUGGUUAACUCCCUAAACGGGCGUAACUCUUGUCUUUAAUAUAGUGUUCUACUGAUUUUUAAAAUUAUCUAAAAUUUUAAAAUAAGCUUUAGAGAUACUGUCAACGAUAAGUUGAAGGAAGGUGAGAACUAAGUCAAGUCAGUGUGACCCUGAUGGAUUGGGCUACACAUGUGCUACAAUGAAAGUCACAAAAAGUUACAAAAAGUUAUAUCUUUUCGUUAAUCUUCAAAAAUUUUCCCAGUUCGGAUUGUAAGCUGAAACUCGCUUAUAUGAAGUUGGAAUCACUAGUAAUCGCAAAUCAGAGCGUUGCGGUGAAUAUGUCGAUUAGCCUUGUACACACCGCCCGUCACAUGCAGAGAAUCAGUUUUGCUUGAAGAUUUAACUAAGUUAAAUCCAUUGAGAAAUUGGUAAUUUGGAUGAAGUCGUAACAAGGUAACCGU
rnacentral:rRNA from 1 species